UAUUUAAAUCAAAGCGAACCGAAGACAGUUAGUGGCUCUGGGCCUUAAUUUCUAACCGAGGGAGAUAAUAACACUAUAAGCCUUAUAGUGUCUGCAUAAUCUCUGUGUCUUUUGGGGACAUGGAGUUUUUUAUUGCUUAU
rfam:Aerococcus urinae ACS-120-V-Col10a, complete genome.